rnacentral:rRNA from 1 species
UACGUAGGGUGCGAGCGUUGUCCGGAUUCAUUGGGCGUAAAGAGCUCGUAGGCGGCUUGGUAAGUCGGGUGUGAAACCUCCAGGCUCAACCUGGAGUCGCCACUCGAUACUGUCAUGGCUAGAGUCCGGUAGGGGACCACGGAAUUCCUGGUGUAGCGGUGAAAUGCGCAGAUAUCAGGAGGAACACCGGUGGCGAAGGCGGGACUCUGGGCCGAUACUGACGCUGAGGAGCGAAAGCGUGGGGAGCAAACAGG